rnacentral:misc_RNA from 1 species
AACAUCGCGCACCUGCGGGAACCUGCGGAAGGAUCAUUAUUGAAUAAAAUUGGUUGGGUAGUUGCUGGCUUCUGCAUUUGAAGCAUUUGUGCACACCUGAUCGAUAUUUCUAACCACCUGUGCAUCUAUGUAGAUCUUGAAACAAUUUUCAAGUACAAAAACCUACUUGGAUUUGAGAACUGCUGUGUUAAUUAAAGCCAGCUCUUCUUGUGUUUCUAGUUCUAUGUUUUCAUAUAAUCA